rnacentral:misc_RNA from 1 species
CAUACAUGUAUGUGUGGUGAAGAAAUAUGCUUUCCAACUGAUACUCUUUCAUGCCCACCUGAAUUUUUCUCAUAACCUCCACAUGUGCUUCAGAGCUGAUGUCAUUAGCAAAUUUAACAACAGCAAGCUCCAGAUCGGACUUCAAAACACGACAUUCAGUCAAAAUAGGAUGUAAUGUAGUCAAAUCUGAUUCAAACUUUUCUAUCCCCUCAAAUCCUGCUGCAUUAGAGAAGUUAC